AAGGCUUUGCAAGUCAGAAUCAAUGUUUGAAUGUUCCCUGGGUUUUUGAGAAUUGUUGCAGCAUUAUUGGAACAUUAGGACCAGUAUGUGUCACCACAGGGACGAAAAGGGCACCUGAAUUUCAAACUCUGCAAAAUUUUAUCAGAAGCAAGACGCAUCAUUUAAAAGUUUGCAAUCAAAUUUUGAUUCCCAUGCUUUCUGCUUGAUGUUAAUCUGAAAUAUUCCCACUGUAUGAUGGUGGCCUCUCAGUAAUUGAUUCUGGACCAGACAAUCCAGUGAUUGACAUUCUGAGCUGCCAUGCCUUCUGGAUAAGAUGGCACCAAGCCUGAUCAUCCAAUCCAUGUAGUCACAUGUCGGUGCAGACCAACUUUAACCCAGAAUCAAAAGGAUGUCUUCAUUUUAGACAUUAUUAGGUAUUUUCUAUGUACAUUCAGGCAUAUUGCCUGUAAUCUCUGAGUCAGCCUUCAACUGGUAUUAAAACAACGAGAACACAUCUUGCUGGCAGAAGGCCUCUAUGUAUUGGUAUUUGUGAUGAAAGUCCUGUAACUACAGAAUAGUGAAGCUGAAGCUUAAGCUGACCUUCACCUUGUGAUGUUUGAAAUCCUGAGUACAACCCCUGGAGAGAGUGAGGUGGAUCUGAAGCCACAUCAAGACAUAUUUCAGGUAUGUCAUGUCGAUGGAUAUUGGUUUCGCACAAUGUACCCAUGUCAGGACUCGAACCCACACCUUAGUGGUUACAAGCAUACAUUUACCCAUGUACCUACCCCAAUGCCCAAUAAAAUUUUCAACAGAUGCUGAAGUUUCAGAUUUUAACAAA